UACGGGGGGAGCAAGCGUUGUCCGGAUUGACUGGGCGUAAAGCGCACGCAGGCGGACGCGCGCGUGGGGUGUGAAAUCUGGCCGCUUAACGGCCAGGCGCCAUCCCAUACGGCGCGUCUGGAGUGAUGCAGAGGUCGAUGGAAUUGCCGGUGUAGUGGUGAAAUGCGUAGAGAUCGGCAGGAACACCCAGGGGGAAACCAGUCGACUGGGCAUCUACUGACGCUGAGGUGCGAGAGCGUGGGGAGCGAACCGG
rnacentral:rRNA from 1 species